rnacentral:rRNA from 1 species
CGAAAGUUAGGGGAUCGAAGACGAUCAGAUACCGUCGUAGUCUUAACCAUAAACUAUGCCGACUAGGGAUCGGGCGAUGUUAUCUUUUUGACUCGCUCGGCACCUUACGAGAAAUCAAAGUCUUGGGUUCUGGGGGGAGUAUGGUCGCAAGGCUGAAACUUAAAGAAAUGACGGAAGGGCACCACCAGGAGUCAAGAGUUCUGCUCCGAAAAGCAUCCCGAGAGGGUGGUGGACGUCCCGAGAAUGAAUAGUGCUAGUCAGCAAUGGCAACGCUUCCAAAUUGCGGGGAUACCCUAACGCUCGAGGUACCACACGGCUGCUGAAAGGCGCCGCAAGGUCACAAUCCGAGAGAUGUUACAAUGGGCAAUCCGCAGCCGUCUCCUCCCGCCGAAAUGGCUACGGGGGCGGUCCAGAGACUAAAUGGAAGUGGGAGGCAGCGCCUCUUAAGAUAUAGUCCGCCGAUGACCGUACCGUCAUCGAAUUUAACGGGAGCCUGCGGCUUAAUUUGACUCAACACGG